AGCAGCCGCGGUAAUUCCAGCUCCAAUAGCGUAUAUUAAAGUUGUUGCAGUUAAAAAGCUCGUAGUUGAAUUUCGGGAUCAAUUUAUCGGUCGUGCCAAUGGUAUGAACUGGUACAAUUGGUUUCUCCCUUCUGACGAAGCAUGAUGUCAUUAAUUUGGUGUCGUGGGGAAUCAGGACUGUUACUUUGAAAAAAUUAGAGUGUUUAAAGCAAGUAUUAGCUUGGAUACAUUAGCAUGGAAUAAUGAAAUAGGACGUUUGAUCCUAUUUCGUUGGUUUCUAGGAUCGACGUAAUGAUUAAUAGGGAUAGUUGGGGGCAUUAGUAUUCAAUUGUCAGAGGUGAAAUUCUUGGAUUUAUUGAAGACUAACUACUGCGAAAGCAUUUGCCAAGGAUGUUUUCAUUAAUCAAGAACGAAAGUUAGGGGAUCGAAGACGAUCAGAUACCGUCGUAGUCUUAACCAUAAACUAUUAGCCGACUAGGGAUCGGAUGAUGUUAAUUUUUUAAUUGUACUCAUUCGGCGU
rnacentral:rRNA from 1 species